GAUGAACGCUAGCGGAAGGCCUAACACAUGCAAGUCGAGCGGUAUUUGGUAGCUUGCUACUAGAGAGAGCGGCGAACGGGUGCGUAACAUGUGUGCAACCUACCCUUAUGAAGGGGAUAGCCAUUCUAAAGGAUGAUUAAUACCCUAUAAUAUAUCAGGUGGCAUCAUUUGAUAUUGAAAGCUACGGUGGAUAAGGAUGGGCACGCACAACAUUAGCUAGUUGGUAAGGUAACGGCUUACCGAGGCGAUGAUCUUUAGGGGUCCUGAGAGGGGGAUCCCCACACUGGGACUGAUACACGGCCCAUACUCCUACGGGAGGCAACAAUGAGGAAUAUUGGACAAUGGGUGGGAGCCUGAUCCAGCCAUUCCGCGUGCAGGAAGAAUGUCUUAUGGAUUGUAAACUGCUUUUAUAUAGGGAUAAACCUACUCUCGAGAGGGUAGCUGAAGGUACUAUAUGAAUAAGCACCGGCUAACUCCAUGCCAGCAGCCGCGGUAAUACUGAGGGUGCAAGCGUUAUCCCGACUUAUUGUGUUUCAAGGGUCCGUACGCGGGUGAUUAAGUCAGUGGUGAAAUCUCAUAGCUCAACUAUGAAACUGCCAUUGAUACUGGUAGUCUUGAGUAUAUUUGAAGUAGCUGGAAUAGGUAGUGUAGCGGUGAAAUGCAUAGAUAUUACUUAGAACACCAAUAGCGAAGGCAGGUUACUAAGAUAUUACUGACGCUGAGGGACGAGAGCGUAGGGAGCGAACAGGAUUAGAUACCCUGGUAGUCUACGCUGUAAACGAUGCUAACUCGUUUUUGGUAUUUAGGUAUCAGAGACUAAGCGAAAGUGAUAAGUUAGCCACCUGGGGAGUACGCUCGCAAGAGUGAAACUCAAAGGAAUUGACGGGGGCCCGCACAAGCGGUGGAUUAUGUGGUUUAAUUCGAUGAUACGCGAGGAACCUUACCAAGACUUAAAUGGGAAUUGACAGCUAUAGAGAUAUGGUUUUUUUCGGACAAUUUUCAAGGUGCUGCAUGGUUGUCGUCAGCUCGUGCCGUGAGGUGUUAGGUUAAGUCCUGCAACGAGCGCAACCCUUGUCACUAGUUGCCAUCAUUAAGUUGGGGACUCUAGCGAGACUGCCUACGCAAGUAGAGAGGAAGGUGGGGAUGACGUCAAAUCAUCACGGCCCUUAUGUCUUGGGCCACACACGUAAUACAAUGGGCGAUACAGAGGGCAGCUACACAGCGAUGUGAUGCGAAUCUCGAAAGUCGUUCUCAGUUCGGAUUGGAGUCUGCAACUGGACUCCAUGAAGCUGGAAUCGGUAGUAAUCGCGUAUCAGCCAUGACGCGGUGAAUACGUUCCCGGCCCU
rnacentral:rRNA from 1 species